CCUGACGCAGCAACGCCGCGUGAAUGAUGAAGCCCUUCGGGGUGUAAAGUUCUGUCAGUAGGGACGAAACUUGACGGUACCUACAGAGGAAGCACCGGCUAACUCCGUGCCAGCAGCCGCGGUAAUACGGAGGGUGCAAGCGUUGUCCGGAAUCAUUGGGCGUAAAGCGUUCGUAGGCGGUACAUCAAGUCUGGUGUUAAAGACCGGGGCUCAACUCCGGCACGGCAUUGGAUACUGAUGAACUAGAAUGCGGUAGAGGUAAAGGGAAUUCCUGGUGGAGCGGUGAAAUGCUAAGAUAUCAGGAGGAACAUCGGUGGCGAAAGCGCUUUACCGGGCCGUUAUUGACGCUGAGGAACGAAAGCCGGGGGAGCAAAUGGGAUUAGAUACCCCAGUAGUCCCGGCCGUAAACGAUGGAUACUAGGUGUUGCGGGUAUCGACCCCUGCAGUGCCGUAGCUAACGCGAUAAGUAUCCCGCCUGGGGAGUACGCACGCAAGUGUGAAACUCAAAGGAAUUGACGGGGACCCGCACAAGCGGUGGAACAUGUGGUUUAAUUCGAAGCAACGCGAAAAACCUUACCAGGACUUGACAUCUGAGGAACUUUGGUGAAAGCCGAAGGUGCCCUUCGGGGAGCCUCAAGACAGGUGGUGCACGGUUGUCGUCAGCUCGUGUCGUGAGAUGUUGGGUUAAGUCCCGCAACGAGCGCAACCCUUGUUGUUAGUUGCUGAUAUCGGUAUACUGAUAUUUAGCUCUCUGACAAGACUGCCGGUGAUAAACCGGAGGAAGGUGGGGACGACGUCAAAUCAUCAUGCCCCUUAUGCCCUGGGCUACACACGUGUUACAAUGGCUAAGACAACGAGCAGCAAACUCGCGAGGGCAAGCAAAUCUCUUAAACUUAGUCUCAGUUCGGAUUGUACUCUGCAACUCGAGUACAUGAAGUCGGAAUCGCUAGUAAACGCAGAUCAGCACGCUGCGUUGAAUACGUUCCCGGGUCUUGUACACACCGCCCGUCACACCAUGGAAGUCGAUUACGCCCGAAGUGGGUGAGCUAACCGUAAGGAAGCAGCCUCCUAAGGCAGGGUUGAUGACUGGGGUGAAGUCGUAACAAGGUAGCCGUACCGGAAGGUGUGGCUG
rnacentral:rRNA from 1 species